rnacentral:rRNA from 1 species
UAAUACGAAGGGACCUAGCGUAGUUCGGAAUUACUGGGCUUAAAGAGCACGUAGGUGGUUAAAAAAGUUGGUGGUGAAAUCCCAGAGCUUAACUCUGGAACUGCCAUCAAAACUUUUUGGCUAGAGUGUGAUAGAGGAAAGCAGAAUUUCUAGUGUAGAGGUGAAAUUCGUAGAUAUUAGAAAGAAUACCGAUUGCGAAGGCAGCUUUCUGGAUCAUUACUGACACUGAGGUGCGAAAGCAUGGGUAGCGAAGAGGAUUAGAUACCCUCGUAGUCCAUGCCGUAAACGAUGUGUGCUAGACGUUGGGAAUUUAUUUUCAGUGUCGCAGCAAAAGCAUUAAGCACACCGCCUGGGGAGUACGACCGCAAGGUUA